rnacentral:rRNA from 1 species
UACGUAGGGUGCAAGCGUUUGUCCGGAUUUAUUGGGCGUAAAGAGCGUGUAGGCGGCCAGGUAGGUCUGCUGUGAAAACUCGAGGCUUAACCUCGAGCUGUCGGCGGAAACCAUCUGGCUAGAGUCCGGAAGAGGAGAAUGGAAUUCCCGGUGUAGCGGUGAAAUGCGCAGAUAUCGGGAAGAACACCCGUGGCGAAGGCGGUUCUCUGGGACGGGUACUGACGCUGAGACGCGAAAGCGUGGGGAGCGAACAGG